rnacentral:lncRNA from 1 species
AGAACACUGGGGAGACUAGAUCGAUAGGGCUGCACAGAGGUGGCACAGUUGUGCCAGAGGGCCAGACUUUGGCAGCGUGUAAGGUCUGAGGACAGGGGCACCGGAGGCCGAGGAUGAGAGGCCAGUGCCUGUUUCCAGGCAGCCAGGGCCUCAGAAACUCCGGCCGGAGCACUCACCCGUCGGUGGAGGCCGUUACCAGGGCCACCUUAUUUGCGAGCGGGUCCCGGCGGGUCAUCCCGGAGCUGGCCAUCCGCACCGAAUUCCAAGCCCGGGCACAGAGGCCUAGCAGCCCCGCCUUGUGCAUGGAUCAGACCAGCAAGUGCCACUUCGGAUAAACCCUUUGGACUCCUAACUCCAAUCAGGUGUCUGCUUUGUUGAGGACUCACAGACACAGUCUCCUUUCUUCAAGAUCUUUACAAUGCAAGACCUCACUAACACACAGGGAUGGUCUCCCAGAGGGUCUGUGCUGUUCCUUCACUCAGAACAUCAAGAUGCACUGAAGUAAGGAUCCUCUAUUCUACAGUUCCUGCUAGCUGAGCUAUUCCAUGGGGGCUUCAGCAGGAAAUUCCAAGGUUGGCUUUGACAAGCUAAGGCCGGCUGGUGGAGCACAUCGAGUUCUGGAGGUUCAUGUGUGUUUUCAUGAAGAUCUGUCUGCCCGUAGCAGAUAAAGAGUUGUUGCCCCACUCCUCCUGGGGUCUUCUAUUUUCCUGGGAGGAAUUUCUGGAUUAACUGAACACACACACACACACACACACCCUUUUGAAGCAUCAACAGUAAUUCUGAGUUCUUAGGGACAAUGCAGAUUAAAUCCACAAUAAGAAAGACAACUAUGGCCAGGUGUGGUGGCUCACGCCUGUAAUCCCAGAACUUUGGGAGGCUGAGGCGGAUGGAUCACCUGAGGUCAGGAGUUAGAGACCAACCUGACCAACAUGGAGAAACCCCGUUUCUACUAAAAAUGCAAAAUUAGCCGGGCAUGGUGGCAGGCGCCUGUAAUCCCAAAUACUCGGGAGGCUGAGGCAGGAGAAUCACUUAAACCCGGGAGGCAGAGGUUGCAGUGAGCCAAGAUCGCGCCAUUGCACUCCAGCCUGGGCAAGAAGAGCAAAACUCCAUCUCAAAAAAAAAAAAAGAGUACUAUUGAUCCAGAGGUGACCAGACUAGCCUCACUGGAGAUAAUAGGUGACAUUAUUAUGCAAAGUGGUUUCAGUUCCCUUGUCUUGUUUUUGGAAUAGUAUAAGAGGCCUACAAUACGAAUAAAUAAGGCCCAUCACAAGCCUCACCAAAGGACAAAACUAAUCCACUUCUGAAGAAGGCUCUUUGUUGGGCCAGAUCAAAUCCUUGGACAGAACUGUACUCUUAAUCUCUGUAGUGAAAGUGGGGGGUAGUUUAAGAAUUUAUUAACCUUCUACCUUGAGCAAUCCCUCAGAAGUAAGAGGUGUCAGGCCUCUGAGCCGAAGCUCAGCCAUUGUAACCCCUGUGACCUGCACAUAUAUGUCCAGAUGGCCUGCAGGAGCCAAGAAGUCUGGGGCAGCUGAAAAACCACACAAGAAGUAAAACAGCCAGUUCCUGCCUUAACUGAUUAACCAACAUUACAACAUUCCACCAUUGUGACCUGUCCCUGUCCUACCUUAACUGAUCAAUCGACCUUGUGACAGUCUUCUUCUGGACAAUGGGUCUUAUCAUCUCCCCACCAUGUACCUUGUGACCCCCUCCUCUGCUAACAAUAGAUAACCACUUUUUACUGUAAUUUUCCAUUACCUACCCAACUCCUAUAAAGCAACCCCUUCCCCAUCUCCCUUCACUGACUCUGUUUUCAGACUCAGCCCACUUGCACUCAAGUGAAUAAACAGCCUUGUUGCUCACACAAAGCCUGUUGGUGGUCUCUUCACACAGAUGUGCUUGACAAAAGGGAAGGGUGGAUUUGUCCUUCUGGUUACAUAUGUUCUGCUCACUCAUUUUGAAUUUAAUUAAACAAGGAUUGCCCUUACCUUUUCAUACUUUGUAAGAAACCAUAAAUACUUAUGCACCAUGAUUUUUUUAAAGAAACACUUUUUAUUUUGAAGUAAUUAUAGUCUCAUAGGAAGUUGCAAAAGUAGUACAUAGAGUCCCUGAGUACUCUUCCCCCAGUGGUGACAACUGUAGUAUAAUAUCAAUUCUGGGAAAUUGACAUUGGUACAAUACCAAAUAUACUAUGCCUUUUUCUCUAAGGCAUGAUGUUGCAGUAGCAUCCUUGUACAUGUAGCUAGGAGAACUUGUACUAAGCCCAGAUAAAUAGUUGAAGUACAAGGGCAAGGAGUGUGUCUUUGAUAUUUUAAUAGAAAUCACCUAUUGCCCUCUAGAAAAGCUGUACCCUUUUCCAGUGGCAGAGAACCUUCCUGAAAGGCAGUCCUGUGUAAUGGUGUCCAUUUCAUCACACCCUUAAAACACUCAGCUUUAACAAACAUGCAGAUUUUUGCUGAUGUGGGAGAAAAUAUUAAUUAUUAAUGAUAUUAAGGUGAUUAUCUUUUCGUAUGUUUAUAGAUAUUUGUAUUUCUUUUUAAAUGAACUGCUCAUGACCUUUGUCUACUUUUAUUUGGGUUUACUUCUUUCUCAUUUAUUCCUAUAAACUCUUUAUAAAAGGAAAUUAACCAUUUGAUUGUCAUAUGUUGUGAAUAUUUUUACCAUUUUGACUUUUGAAUUUAUGUCUUUUUAAUGAAUUGUAGAAGUUUAAAAUCUUUAUGGAAUAAAUUUAUUUAGUUUUUUGUUUAUGG